UACGAGGGGGGCGAGCGUUGUUCGGAAUUAUUGGGCGUAAAGGGUGCGUAGGCGGUUUGGUAAGUCUUGUGUGAAAUCUCCAGGCUCAACUUGGAGUCUGCACGAGAAACUGCCGGGCUUGAGUAUGGGAGAGGUGAGUGGAAUUCCUGGUGUAGCGGUGAAAUGCGUAGAUAUCAGGAGGAACACCUGUGGCGAAAGCGGCUCACUGGACCAUAACUGACGCUGAUGCACGAAAGCUAGGGGAGCAAACAGG
rnacentral:rRNA from 1 species